CUCAUGAUGACCCUUGAACUGGAAUAACUGAUCUUACCUAGCCAUAGGACCUGCUGCCUCUGCCAAUUUAAAACUACUAUUGAAGUUGUCUGCAAGACAGUCAAGCUGCACUGUGACAGUGACUGCCUGGCAAGCACCACACGUUGUGAUGAAGAGGCAUCUGUAGGGAAUGCAGAAGGAUCGUUCUUGAAUGUGUUACAAGCCCAGAAUAAGAGCACCAGCACCGAGCUGAUUAUUGAGCCAGAGAAGGUGUCCUCGGACAGACGUGGUGUCAGCCUGCCAGCCUUCAUCAGUGAGCAGCUAGACUUUAAUGACAGAAUUGAUGUUAUCAGUGCACUAAGUUACGUACUGCCUUAUUUCUUGGAGGGACAUCUAGAAGAUUUAGAAACAGCAUUUUUACCAGUCAUUAAACUUUUUUCAAAUGUACACGAUGGAGAUAAGCCCCUGGGUUAUUUGAAGAAAAAAAAAAGAAAAAGAAAAACCACAAGGAACUGUUCUGUUAAACCUGAAUCCAACAAUUCACUUUAUAAAAGUAAACUGCAGAGAUUCUAUCGUCUGAAAAAAUGGCUUGAUUCAGAAAUGCAAAAGAAAAAACUGAUGAGGUUAAAAACAAAGGAAAAAAACUGCCAUGCUUGUACAUGCUGACCCGUUAGGUCCCGGAUUUAAAUGGCAGAUCUUUGGAAAGUUGGAAACUGCCCAACCACAGGAAAACAGCCCGGUAAAGACUGAGAGUGUAGGGGAUAGGCUGCAGGGAGUGGACAGGGUCCUCAAGGGCCCAAAGGGCACAAUGAAAAAACUCAUCAAAGAAUUGAUGUGUCAGAGGAAGCAGAAUGCCCAUCCACCUGUGGAGAACACUGCCAAGGAAGUGGAGCUCAGGAGGCUGUCCCCAAGAAAGCUAGAGCAGCUCCACAUGAUGCAGAGGCCCAGGAAGUCAGUGGGAAGCUCCUUCAACACAAAACCUUCGUUUCUAAAUGGACAUAAGGCAUCAGUCUCUUCUUCCCUGCCUUCUGGCUCCACCCCUCCUAAAUCUGAGGUUAAACACGAAUCAAAAGACUUGGCCUACACUAUUUUAGAAGAUGCAGAUACUAGAGUUAGAAAUAUGGAGGUUUCUGAACCACCAUCACAUCCCAGGAAAAAGCACUUUUUCCUUGGUACUCGCUCUCAUGCACAGAUUAUUCCAGGCCAAAAGGAACCACAAUUUGAGAAGGAAAGAGCUACUCAGGAGAAUAUCUGCAAGUAGGCCUCCCUCCUCUGCAGGGAGGAGCCUCAUAAAUCCUUCUUCACAAGAAGCU